ACCGCCAUUAGCUCAUCAGGAAAGAGCGCCAGCCUUCGAAGCUGGUUGCGCGGAGUUCGGGUCCCUGAAGGCGGUU
rnacentral:tRNA from 1 species